AGUCCGUCAGUUGACUUAACGA
rnacentral:snRNA from 1 species